CAAGGUUUCCGUAGGUGACCUGCGGAAGGAUCAUUAUCGAACAAGAAGGGGGAAAGACUGUCGCUGGCGAAAGCAUGUGCACGUCCGACCUUUUCUACUACACACACCUGUGCACCUUUUGUAGGUCCUCGAAAGAGGAUCUAUGUAUUUCAUCAUCACACCUAUCGUAUGUCUAGAAUGUCAUCGUCGACCACUGGGCGGCGAAAUAAAUAAUACAACUUUCAGCAACGGAUCUCUUGGCUCUCGCAUCGAUGAAGAACGCAGCGAAUUGCGAUAAGUAAUGUGAAUUGCAGAUUUUCAGUGAAUCAUCGAAUCUUUGAACGCACCUUGCGCUCCUUGGUAUUCCGAGGAGCAUGCCUGUUUGAGUGUCAUUAAAUUCUCAACCAUGACUUUGUUGACAUGGCUUGGAGUUGGGGGUUGCUGGCUUGUUGUCAGCUCUCCUGAAAUGCAUUAGCGGUGGACAAGCAAGGCCUUCCGACGUGAUAAUGAUCGUCGUGGGGCGGAGCAUCAACGUCUGUCUGCUUCUAAAUCCCAGAUGCCUUAGCUACUAGUAGAAAGACAUCAUUUCGAACGCUUGACCUCAAAUCAGGUAGGACUACCCGCUGAACUUAAGCAUAUCA
rnacentral:rRNA from 1 species